rnacentral:rRNA from 1 species
AUACGGAGCGUGCAAGCGUUAUUCGGAAUCACUGGGCGUAAAGGACGCGUAGGCGGGUUGGCAAGUCAGAUGUGAAAUCCUACAGCUUAACUGUAGAACUGCAUUUGAAACUGCUAACCUAGAGUAUGGGAGGGGGAGAUGGAAUUAGUGGUGUAGGGGUAAAAUCCGUAGAUAUCACUAGGAAUACCGAAAGCGAAGGCGAUCUCCUGGAACAUAACUGACGCUAAGGCGUGAAAGCGUGGGGAGCAAACAGGAUUAGAAACCCCAGUAGUCC